rnacentral:rRNA from 1 species
GGCUCAGGAUGAACGCUGGCGGCGUGCUUAACACAUGCAUGUCGAACGAAGCAACUUAUUACGAUCCCUUCGGGGUGACGAUUGUUGACUGAGUGGCGGACGGGUGAGUAACGCGUGGGUAACCUGCCUCGUACAGGGGGACAACAGUUGGAAACGGCUGCUAAUACCGCAUAAGCGCACGGUAUCGCAUGGUACAGUGUGAAAAACUCCGGUGGUACGAGAUGGACCCGCGUCUGAUUAGCUAGUUGGUGAGGUAACGGCCCACCAAGGCGACGAUCAGUAGCCGAUCUGAGAGGAUGAACGGCCACAUUGGGACUGAGACACGGCCCAGACUCCUACGGGAGGCAGCAGUGGGGAAUAUUGCACAAUGGGCGAAAGCCUGAUGCAGCCGACGCCGCGUGAGCGAUGAAGUAUUUCGGUAUGUAAAGCUCUAUCAGCAGGGAAGAAAAAUGACGGUACCUGACUAAGAAGCACCGGCUAAAUACGUGCCAGCCGCAGC